rnacentral:rRNA from 1 species
CGUACGCAGGCGGCGUCCUACUAUUGCAAGUCAAGCGGAAUGGGUUCCUAGUCUUGUCUCUUAUGUAAGUUACCAGGACGGUACUGGAGAUGAUUAACACUGUGUGUAACCUGCCCAUGGGCCGGCAUUACUCACGGGAAACCUGGGCCUCAUACCCGUAUCACCUUUUGCACCUCAGGGAUCUUAAUUGAUAGGCCUCUUCGGCUGUCCCUUGUGGAUGGACCCACUUCGCAAUGUCUAGGUGGUGAGGUAACACGCUCACCAAGGUGACCAUACAUAACCAUCCUGACAGGGUGAUCUGACACACUGGGACUGAGACACGGCCCAGACUCCUACGGGAGGCAUCAAUAGGGGAAUCUUCCCCAAUGGCCGAAAUUCUGACGGAGCAACGACGCGCGUGUGAUGAUGGCUUUCUGGUCGUAAAACUCUAUGGCAAGGAAAGAACAAGUGCUAGUUGAAUCAGCUGGCACCUUGUCGGUACCUAACCCUAAAGCCACGGCAUAACUACGUGCCACGCAGCGGUGCGUAAUACAUAGGUGGCAAGCUGUUAUCCGGAAUUAUUGGGCGUAAAAUCGCGCGCAGGUGGUUUCUUAACCUCUGAUGUGAAAGCCCACCGGCUCACCCGUGGAGGGUCAUUGGA